UGAUGGCCAUGACCAAUCUGAGCACAUUUUGCAUGAAAUGGUUAGGGUUCUUGACUGGUACAUAACCACCCAUGUGCCCUUGAAACCCAGAAUUGUCAAUGUGAUUGCAGAGUGAAAGUCACUCGCAUGUGGCAUGUGUGGGCUGGAUCAUUAAUAAUUCAACGGUGUUGAUGUAAAACCUAGCUACUUUCUUUAAAAAAAAA
rnacentral:lncRNA from 1 species